rnacentral:rRNA from 1 species
AGUGAACGCUUUCUUUCUUCCUAACACCUUCAAGUCGAACUGCAGCACAGUAAGAGCUUGCUCUUACGGGUGGCGAGUGGCGGACGGGUGAGGAAUACAUCGGAAUCUACUUUUUCGUGGGGGAUAACGUAGGGAAACUUACGCUAAUACCGCAUACGACCUACGGGUGAAAGCAGGGGAUCUUCGGACCUUGCGCGAUUGAAUGAGCCGAUGUCGGAUUAGCUAGUUGGCGGGGUAAAGGCCCACCAAGGCGACGAUCCGUAGCUGGUCUGAGAGGAUGAGCAGCCACACUGGAACUGAGACACGGUCCAGACUCCUACGGGAGGCAGCAGUGGGGAAUAUUGGAAAAUGGGCGCAAGCCUGAUCCAGCCAUACCGCGUGGGUGAAGAAGGCCUUCGGGUUGUAAAGAAAUUGUGUUGGGAAAGAAAAGCAGCAGGUUAAUACCCCGCUGUUCUGACGGUACCCAAAGAAUAAGCAAAGGAUAAAUUCGUG